rnacentral:rRNA from 1 species
ACGUUACUAACGACGAUAUGCUUUGGGGAGCUGUAAGUAAGCUUUGAUCCAGAGAUUUCCGAAUGGGGAAACCCAGCAUGAGUUAUGUCAUGUUAUCGAUAUGUGAAUACAUAGCAUAUCAGAAGGCACACCCGGAGAACUGAAACAUCUUAGUACCCGGAGGAAGAGAAAGAAAAUUCGAUUCCCUUAGUAGCGGCGAGCGAAACGGGAAGAGCCCAAACCAACAAGCUUGCUUGUUGGGGUUGUAGGACACUCUAUACGGAGUUACAAAGGACGACAUUAGACGAAUCAUCUGGAAAGAUGAAUCAAAGAAGGUAAUAAUCCUGUAGUCGAAAAUGUUGUCUCUCUUGAGUGGAUCCUGAGUACGACGGAGCACGUGAAAUUCCGUCGGAAUCUGGGAGGACCAUCUCCUAAGGCUAAAUACUCUCUAGUGACCGAUAGUGAACCAGUACCGUGAGGGAAAGGUGAAAAGCACCCCGGAAGGAGAGUGAAAUAGAACCUGAAACCGUGUGCUUACAAGUAGUCAGAGCCCGUUAAUGGGUGAUGGCGUGCCUUUUGUAGAAUGAACCGGCGAGUUACGAUUUGAUGCAAGGUUAAGCAGUAAAUGUGGAGCCGUAGCGAAAGCGAGUCUGAAUAGGGCGUUUAGUAUUUGGUCGUAGACCCGAAACCAGGUGAUCUACCCUUGGUCAGGUUGAAGUUCAGGUAACACUGAAUGGAGGAC